rnacentral:snRNA from 1 species
UCAGUGGUAUCAGUCACCA